rnacentral:rRNA from 1 species
AUUGAACGCUGGCGGCAGGCCUAACACAUGCAAGUCGAGCGGAUGAAUGGAGCUUGCUCCUGGAUUCAUCGGCGGACGGGUGAGUAAUGCCUAGGAAGCUGCCUGGUAGUGGGGGAUAACAUUCGGAAACGGGCGCUAAUACCGCAUACGUCCUGAGGGAGAAAGUGGGGGAUCUUCGGACCUCAGGCUAUCAGAUGAGCCUAGGUCGGAUUAGCUAGUUGGUGGGGUAAAGGCCUAGCAAGGCGACGAUCCGUAACUGGUCUGAGAGGAUGAUCAGUCACCCGGGAACUGAGACACGGUCCAGACUCCUACGGGAGGCAGCAGUGGGGAAUAUUGGACAAUGGGCGAAAGCCUGAUCCAGGCAAGCCGCGUGUGUGAAGAAGGUCUUCGGAUUGUAAAGCACUUUAAGUUGGGAGGAAGGGCAGUAAGUCAAUACCUUGCUGUUUUGACGUUACCAAAAGAAUAAGCACCGGCUAACUUCGUG